CCCUCAGCUCACUGGGUAUCAUGACAGUGGGUGCGAGAUCCACAACUUGUGUCAACGUUUCGAUCUCCCGCAAGAACUGAUGGAAAGCCUGUGCCAGUUCAUUCAGGGCACUGCAGAUCCGCUUUGGGCUGUGUGGGCCAGCUGCUCAGUAAUCCCGGGCUAGCGGAUGAGCUCUGAGGCUUUUCUUGAGGUUUGGUGAAGGGCACAUGGACUGCUGAGGAAGGAGGAGCAGACGGGGUUACUGUGCUCAGCACUGCUCUGCGAGUGAGCUCCAC